ACGCAAUUUUCCAAGGUUGCUCAUAUCUCUUGGUAAAACAUCGAUGUAAGCAUAAUGAUGUGCAUCUAGAACCAUCAUGUGAUAGAAUCUAGAAAGUUUGUUAGGAAAUCUUGCUUCAUAUCGAAAAGAACCUCCAAUCCAAAGGUAGCGAAGAUGGACAAGUUGGUAAAAGUUGUGUAGCAAAUCUUCCACAUUAUAGGAUGUGCCAGAUAGAAAAAUCACACGAAGGGCCUUUGCUUCCCUAAACAAUUCACCAAAAGCUUUCACAAAGCAACCAUGGUGUUCCCCAAAUAUCAUCAAAGUCCGCAGUUUUUCAACUUUUAAUCUUCUACCCAAUGUAUUGAAAUCCUCAACACUAUUUUUGAGAGUCAAUCUAUCCUUGGCACUAGUAGCAUCUAUGUUGAUAGACAAAUGGCGAAUUGAUGGUAGGACUUCUAAUGUGCUCACAUGAGAUUGAGAACUCUCUAUGUUAAGGCAUUCAAGUGAUGAAACUUUCCGUGCCAAUUCAUGUAAGAGAUCAUGAACAAUAUAAAAAGUUUGUCCAUCUUCGUUCACUUUGUUUUCCAAAAAUCCAUAAUUAAACAACUCAGUCAAAUGACUUAGCCCGAUAUCUUCAACUCUUUUAUUUUGACCAUGUAAUGAAUGCAAGACUUCCUGUCCUAUCCAGAAGUUAACUAGCUCUUCUCUUUUGAAUAUGUAAUCUUGAGGAAACAAAGCACAGAAGGAGAAGCACUGCUGAAGCUGAGAAGGCAGGUGAUCAAAGCUCAAUUUCAGUGCAGGCAUAAUGUCAUUCUUGCCACUACUAUGCUCCCAUUCCUUACUUUCUAAGAUUCUAGUCCAGUGAGCCAAAUCAAGUUCGGUUUUCAACAAUCUACCAACAGUUUUUGCUGCAAGAGGGGAGCCCUUUAGUCUACAAGCUAUCUUGAACCCAGUUUCUAGCAAGGAUGUGUGGUCCUUUCUAGAUUGAUCAUCAUCACCAAAGAUAACUUCUAGGAAUAAUUCCUCAAAUUCUUUAUUUUCUAAGCCUUUCAAAUAUAUUGGCUGAUCGUUUUUUCGAACCACUAUUUGUGCUUGUGCUGGAAACCUUGUGGUGACUAUAAUUAUAUUACCCUGUACUUGUGAUUUUUGGAAUGGCACCAGUAGCCGUUUCCAUUCAUCCUCAUCACUGCAGUCCCAUAUAUCAUCUAAUACAAGCAAUAGCCUCUUAUUUUUCAAUCUUUGCCGAAUUAACUCACCAGCAGUACCAUUACUACUUUCACCAUCAAUUUUAGGGAUAUAUCCUUGAAUUUCUUCUAUCAGCUUAUUCACAUUAAAGUUGAGUGAUACACAUGUCCAAACUCUGACAUCGAAAUGGUCUUGCACAUCUGGACUGUGAUAUAUAUGUUGUGCAAGAGUUGUCUUUCCUAUGCCCCCUGGACCAACAAUUGGUAUAACCGUAAGGAUCUCAGUAGAGUGUUUACCCUUUGUAAUAUCAUGUAUGAUGUUAUUCAUUAGAAGGUCCCUCCCAUACAGUUUCUGUUCUAUACUUUGAGAGGUGGUGACAGGACGACUCUGUGCAAUAUUUGGGACAGUGCUCCAAUUUGAACCUAAUGUUGCAAUAAUGCCAGAAACAUCUUGACGCACGAGUCGCAAUUUCUUUACAACAUCCUGCAUUCUUUUGGAGGCAUCCACUCUAUUAAAUCUCAACUUGGGUGGUUCAUUAUCUGUAAUAAGGUUUCUCUGCGGUGAAUUGUUGUGCAUGCCAUAGUCAACUUUGUCACCAUUGUCAUCAUCAGGAUCAGAUGGCAAAGAUGAGCAAGGGAAGCAUUUACCGACAGUGUGGAUGGGGUUGCAGCAAGAUCUGGAGUUGAGCUUUGCCUUGUGUCUGUUGACCCCUUGAUUAGCCUUGGCCUCCGAAGAAGCAGCAGAUGAGAAGCAUGAAGGUAACCAAAUCUGCUUGCCAACAGCUUUUGCAGUGUGACGCACAUUCAGGGCCAGGUUAUGGGUGACACCCUUGGCAUGCUUGUCGGCAGCAUGGAAGGUGCCGUCCAACUCGUCCUGGAUGCGGAAGUAGUCCAGCUCGUCCAGCACAUCCUCGGCAUCAUACCCAAGCUCUUUCAGUUCCUCUAAAAGCUCCUUGAGUGACGAGUUGUCUAUUUCCCUGCCGGCGGUGGGCUCAAGCAGGGCCUUCACGAGUUUUAGCUCUCGCUCGAGGGACUCCACGUUGUCACCGAGCUCCACGCUGGCUGCCCAGUCCUUGAGCAAGCCAUCGGUUAGGGGAGCCAGCGCCUUGCCCACCACCGAAAACGCUGCGCUGACCAUGGCAGUCGCCAUGAUCACGCCGAGGAGAUGUGUGCUUGUGUAGCUGUGCACAGUACGGGACUAUUGGAUCAGAAGAUCUCUUGAGUUUAUUUGAUGGUUCUGCCUGCCUGCAGUCCAGGAGAGAUGAAACCACAAACCACCAUUAGUUAGUGCCACUAAUAACCAAUACUGAUGCUACUUCUGCUGCUCGAGCCAGAGGAGAAAAGGCUAUCUACAUGUUUACUCACCAAGCAGAGGAAGGAGCAGGAUCUGAUCUGAUCUGAUGCUACAAGUUGUUUUGAGGACACACUCGACCGAUGCUUGCAAACUCCUGCGUCAAGACCUCAAGCAAGAUAACUUGACAUGCGAGAAUCAGAAGCUGAGAAUGGAGUCAGAACAUCUGUUGAGUCAGAACAUCCUGCGCACAGGGAGAAGAAACCACCAUCAGUGAGUGUCACUAAUAAGCAAUACUGCUGCCAAAGGAGAAAAAACUGUCUACAAUUUUACUCACCAAGUAGAGAAACGUGCAGGAUCUGAUCUGAUCUGUCCACCCAAGUUGUUUCAAUGUCUGCUUGGUGCUUCUCUUGCGUUUGAUGCUUCUGCGUGCAGUACGGCAGCAGUGGCUCCGAAGGUCUCUAGAGUUUAAUUACUUGCUUCAGCGUGCAGGGAGAGAUGAAACCACCGUUAUCGAGUGCCACUAAUAAGCAAUACUGAUGCUGCUUCUGCUGCGUGCUGCCAGAGCCUGAUCUAGGAGAAAAACUAUCUACAAGUUUACUCACAGAGCAGAGGAAGGAGCAGCCGAGCAGGAUCUGAUGCCCCAAGUUGCUUUGCUUCGAGCACACAAUCGGCGACAGAGUUCAGCCAGGCAAGAGAUCGGAGGAGCUGAUGGCUGAGGAAAUGAGGAGCAAGAGCAAUAAUGCAAUCAUCCACUGCGUCAACGCCAGUCUGUAGGUCGACGGUCACCAUAUGGAAUGGAGCCGCCACCGUUCACGAGCUAUCCUGAGUCUCUGGUCCCGGCAGACAGCGAAAAUGAGCCUUUAGGCACUGUUUAAUUUGGAAAUAAAAAAUUUUUAGAUGUCAUAUCGGAUGCGUUGGAAGGAUGUCGGAAGAGGUUUUUAGAAACUAAUAAAAAAACAAAUUACAUAGCUCGUCUGGAAACUGCAAGACAAAUCUAUUAAGCAUAAUUAAUCUGUCACUAGCACAUGUGGGUUACUGUAGCACUUAAGGCUAAUUAUGAACUAACUAGGCUUAAAAGAUUCGUCUCGCGAUUUUUAACCAAACUGUGUAAUUAGUUUAUUUUUUAUCUACACUUAAGGUUCCAUGCAUGUGUCUAAAGAUAUGAUGGGAUGGCUGAAAAUUUGUUGGGUGAAAAACUAAACAGGGCCAUAAAAAGAAGCGAAAUUAUGUUCGCAAUACAAAAAAAAGUAAUCAGACUACUUCUAGACAUUUACAACUUAUUUAUAUUUGGAUGGGUGCAUAUAAAGGCCUUGAUUAGUUCACUCUAAAAACCAAAAACUUUUUAAGAUUCUCCAUCACAUCAAAUCUUACGGUACAUGAACAUUAAAUAUAUAUAAAAAUAAAAACUAAUUUCACAGUUUGCUUGUAAAUCGUGAGACAAAUUUUUUAAGCCUAGUUACUCCAUGAUUGGACAAUGUUUGUCAAAUAAAAAUGAAAGUACUACAGUGUCAAAAUCUAAAAAAAAUUCGGAUCUAAAGAUGGCCAAAGCUGGGGGGCUCGUAUAUCAACUAGGUCAAAAAAUCAUCGAACCAAAUACAGCUUUGCUGGAAUAGAACAACCAACCAAACAAGCACGCCAUGUUCCUCGUCGCCAUCCAAUACAGUUAGCAGAGAUGCUGGCCACCGUGGGCCUGUUCCUCGUCGCCUCCAGGCUCUCGCUGCCCACCCAUCUAACCACACUAUUAUGUCCUUGUCACCUGUCGCCGUUUCCUGCAAACGUCGUCGAACGGGUGGCUCAAAUGACCAUUGCACCUUUAAGUUAACUGGUGUUCCAACUAUUUUUGUACUACCUCAUCAAGGAUACAACUACGUAUCAGUGUUCGUCAAAGUUAACCAAGCUAGUGAAUAAUAUUUACAUUUAUAUAUCUAAAUUUAUUUAUUAUGAAAAUAUAUUCUAUAAUAAAAGACAUGUAUGGGUGACAAUCUUAUUAAAGUAAGCACUAACGUAGAGAACACACAAAUACACCUCAUCAAUUUAUGUCUGCAUUAUAUUACAAAAACGUGACAAAGUUGAAAUUGUGUAGCUCCCAAACAAAUUGGCUUGUGUGGCCAACUCUAGCUAGACUGAAAAAGGAACAGCAUCUGAGGUUGUGAUCCCAACAGAAGAAUAGGCAGAAACCCAAAACAACUAAAAGGUUUGUAUUUGAGCUUAGGCUGAUAAAUGAGUAUUUUACAGCAAACAUAUUGAGAAGACCAUCUGAUUUUUGUACACUGACAAUGUUGUUUGUGAAACACUACUAUAUAUGGCACCACCACUCAGCUCAGUUGCUCUAAGGAAUAAAAAAAAUAUAAAUAGUGACUUUAAACUGCAAUUAGACGUCACAUGUACAAACACUAGAAAACCAUGAACUUCCACAAAGCUAUGCCAAGUGAAUAGAUAAAAGCUUUAGUUAAGAGAGAGGUGGUGUUAUUAGGGCACAGGACCCAUCACCAACCCCGACCCUGCCUACGCCUCUACGUUCCCAACCCCGACCCUGCCUACGCCUCUACGUUCCCAAGCUUUAGGCCGCCCUCUACUCCUAUGCCUCCAGUCCACGUUCGGGGGCACAGAUGAGUGCGGCAAGGCUGCCUACGUCGUCAAGCUCCUGCCCCCACUCGGGGAUGGGCCUCGUCGGUGGCGGCGCCAACGCGGCGGCCCUGCCUAGGAACGCGCUACCCACCGUCACCUCCCCGGCGGCCGCGAGUCUGGGGCCCUGCUCCCUGCAGCAAGGUGAGCACGGUUCUGCUCCCGGGGUUGAGGCCGAGCUAUUCGGGCCAUCGGUCCUCAUCGAGGAUGCUACAGGCAGCGAGGACGAGGAAGACGUUGUCGACAUGGUUGACGGCGAUGAUGCUGGUGGAGCUGCGUGGGUGUCCGUUCCAUUCCCUGACCAGGGCAUGUGCCAGCCUCGACGCCUUCCCGGUCCACCCAUCUACCCUCCGCUCCAAGUCCGUCGUCCACCUUGUCCCCCAAGGCCUAGCACGGCGGAAUGGACCAGGGCUCGACGUUGGGCAGAUGAGGACCUCACUGAUGCCUCCGAUGCGGAUUCGACGCCAAUCUCCAUGGCGCCCUAUCGGGACGCUAUUCGACAGGGGCCACAGCCAUCAAGGCCUUUAACGCGGGCAGCGCCGCCCCUGCUGCAUGCUCAGCCUCUACCUUUGGGCGGCGGCAAUGCGACGCCAGGCUUCCAGAGCGCUGGCCCAAGGAGGGGGAAGCGUCAUCAUCGGCCACGGCCACAGCUAGUGCACGCCAUGCCACCUCGCCCAGUGGAGGGCCACAUCUCGGCACAUCAGUGCCUCGGCUACCAUCGACGGGUCUCCACCCCUGACGCCGAUGGGUGGCGGGAGAUCCUCCACCGGCAGGUGAAGCGUCCGGCGACCGCCUCGGUUGUGCGUCUCAAGCCUGCUUAUGGGGAUCAGCCAGCAAGUCAUCGACCACCGAGGCAUAUCCCUACCGAUCUGGAUGGCAAGUGCCUCAAUUGCCUCUCAACCUCACACCAAGUGGUCACCUGCAAACUGCCCCAGCGUUGCCUGCAGUGCAAGGGCUUUCGACAUAUCGCGCGUGACUGCAAGUGGCCAAGGCACGCGGGCAAUUCAGUCUGGGCACAAAACCCGAAACCCGAUCCCCGAACCCAAAAAACCCGGACCCGAAACCGAAUUACCUGAACCCGCAGAACCCAAAGUCUAGUUCGGAUUUUGAUUCUCGAAACCCGAUCUUAUUUCGGGUAAAUUGGGUUAGGUAGCCUGGUACGCUAGAACCCGAAAUAAGAGUCUUCCCCGUGGUCGCGUCCCAGAUUUCCCGUGAGACCUCCUCGGGCGCUGCUUUCCUCAUUAAUCGCCAUCUUCAAUCCCCGCCUCCACGAUAGUUGCGUCGCCGCCGACGGCUCCACUCCCCGAGGCCGAGUCGCCUGCCUUCUCUCGCCUCUCUCUCCCUUCAAAAGGCCCGACGAACACGCGAGGCAAUGCUCCUCAUCCGGCUCGCGCCUACAUUCACCUCUACGCCUGCGCCGACACCGGACCCGGCAGAGGCAGAGCGCGACCGCGACCGUGAGAUCCGCGACAACGAGCUGAGCGAGAGCGACUGCGGUGCCGCCAUCACUCCAUCUCCUGUGCCGCUACUUCUCACCUCGUCGUCGGCGGAGAGGAAUUCCAGCGCCUGGGGACCUGCAGAAUCGUGCUCCUCGUGCAAUGUGAGUAUUCAUAUUCCCUAACUUAAUCCCUAUGGCCUUCUUGUUCUUGUUAUUUGAUUUAGAUCCAUGAAUCCUUCAUCUGUAUGUACUUUAGGUGUACUGUAUACACAAUUCAUUAUCUUGAGUAUUUUUUUUAUUAAGGCUAUCUUGAGUGAUUCUGUGUUUGUUGCCAACAUAUGUUUUCUAUAAGAUAAGGUUCCAGAAGUAGCGUGGUGAAAAGUUUGAGCUAUAUGAUUGAUAUAUCUUAGAUGACGUGCAUUGCUGAUAACAAUGCACUUACGUAUUUGCUACGAUACAGAUGAAACAUGUGCAGCUGUGAGCCUGUGAUCACAUUAGAAUUUUUAAAUUUUAACCAUCAAAUAUUUACUACACAGCAUGGAGAUCUCAGAGUCUGGAGUCUGGAUGGAGUUGGAGCCUUGGAGGCCUGUUGCAGAAUGCAGUUGCAGUGGGUGGCGUGGUGCUUGGAGCUCCGGAUGGCUCAACAUUUCUUUUGUUCUCAUCUGAAGCAUAUGCACUGGUGACUGGUGUGAUGGCAUGCAGCAGCCAGCAGGAUUCAACUUUUUUUAUUUGCUCUUAUCUUAUCACUUAUCAGUACUAAGUAGUCAUUAAGACAGUAAGACUGUGUCUGUGUCGUGGUUCACUAGUUCUGGUGUGGUACUGGUUAAAAACGUUAAUGCGUUCUGCUUAUCAUUUGUUGUUUAAUAUCAUUAAGUUUUUCAAUUCGUAUGCAUGUUUGAGUACAUUACAUAUUUUCGGGUACAUCAGGUAAACCGAACCCGAACUUGCGGGUACCCGAACAAUCGGGUUUUUUUUUCAGGGGCCUUAUCAGGUAACGAAUCUCAUUACCCGAACUCUCCAAAAACCCGAAUAACCCGACCCGAAGUUUUCGGGUAACCCGAACGCCCAGACUGACGGGCAAUCAUGUUCCGAGCAGUCAUGCCUUGGUUCGCUCCUUUGGGCUAACGGACCUUGGUGGUUUGUGUGGCCAUGGUAGAGCCACGACGAGCACCACGACCCCCUUCACAAAUGGUCGGUGUUGACCAAGGCAGAGGCGACGCAAGCGUCGAAGGCUUCGCGGGCAGGCGGCUGAGUAUGUGCAGACAGCACCGACCUCCACCUCGAUUGCUUCUGAAGCUCUGCCUAGGGGCAUCGCCUAGCCCGACGACAUCGCGACUGCAACAGGUGUUGCCACCAGGGCUGGCCAAGCGCCGCAUGGAUCCUCGGUGGUGGUGCCUGUGCUGUGCCUUCCUGAGCCCGACCCACUUGCGGAGGCGAUGUAUGUGGGCGAUGGUCCUCCUGCUUUGGUCCUCUCCUUUGACCUGAUGCUGGAGGAGCUCCUAGCCGCCGCAUUCAUCGUGAGCUGCUCGGUUGUGGUGGCUGCCUCCCCAGGGUCUGCGGAGUCGACUACGGUGGUGGCUGUCUCCUCACAUCAGCCAUCGGCGCAGGAGCUGGUGCAGCUCAUGCCUCCUCGAGUGGGUCAGACCGAUGUCGAGAUUGGCAACGACACGCCCACACAACGUGAGGCCGCCCAGCGCCUCACAUGGUUUCUUGAUGAGGUACGGGUCGUACGGGAGCCGCCACUAGUUUCCUCCUCAACACGGCAGAGGGCGAGAUCCAGGAGCCCCCUACCUAUCGGAUCGGUGCCCAACCGUUGGCACACAUACCGGCCUCCCGACAAGGUGAGGUACUCCUCAUGCAACGGAUGGGGAUCGCGCCGCCGGCCGCUCCGAUUUCAUCUGCGCCAAAGGGAUUACUCGACACCUUGCGUUCCGAAACUUUGUCUUUGGGCCAUGUGGAGGCCCUUGACAUGUUGUUUCCCACAUUCGACUGGCGUGCACGGGAGCUCUUCAGGGAAGACUGGUAGGACGCGCAUGUGUUCGCACAAUGGUUGUCCCAUUUUGCAAUAUCGGAUUAGGGUUCAGUCUGCUAGGUUGGUUCAGUUGCUAGACCACCUAGCACGCUAUAUGCGCGUUGUCUGUACUGCAAACUCUUUUCUUCUUAAUAGCAAUGAUACGCAAAUCUUUUGCGUAUUCAAGAAAAAAAAAGCUUUAGUUAAUGUUCAGAGCAUUUGCUUAGGCAGGGCAGGGAGUGAACAGAUAUAAGGUCCACAUUAUCAAAAACGAAAUCAAUAAUAGUGCCCAGACUAUAAACAAUGUCAACAAUAUUAUAUUACAGCCUCACUGGGAUACAAGCCUUUAAAUUUGAAACAAUUGUCCAAAAAGUUUGUCGAUAACUUAGCCCUCGUGCUUUGCUAUUUGAUUCAUGAUUUGUUGACUAUUGUGGGAUGUGCUCCAUGAAAAUGGUUCUCAGAUUACAAAGCUCCCCCACAUGAAAAUGGUUCUCAGAGUACAAAGCUCCCCCACAAUCAUGAUUUAUUUAUGGGCUUCUUGUUUGGCUAUUGUUUUAUUCAAAAUUUUUGUAAUAUUAUUUAUUUCAUUAUGACUUAUUUUAUUAUUAGAGAUACUUUAAUAAUAAUUUAUUUAUUUUAUUAUUUACAAAAAAAUUAAUAAGACAAAAAAAAGAAGUUUCCAAGUAAAAAUCAUUGCUUAUUUUAGGGCGAAGGGAUUAUGUAGAUUAUCCACUGUCUGUCGGCGGCCACCUGCCAUAUAUUAUGACAUAUUUUGUGCAGCAUGCAACCUACUUCCUACAUCCUGAAAUAGAUGAUGUAUUUUUAUUUAUCCUAAUAAGUCAAGACAUCAUCCAUCUUAUAUUUUGACCAAGUUAAAGGAAAGAACAAUAUUAUUUUUGACAUCAUAUAAGCUCCACUAGAAACAUUACCAAAGAUAUUUUUAUAAUAUCUUAUUUUGUUGCUGUGGCAAAAGUGAACCAUGUAUUUUUCUAUAAUUUCAAUCAAAUAUAUAUAAGGUAGGUUUAUUUAGAAUAAAUAAAAAUACUCAAUAUUCAAGGGCGGAAAGAGUAGUCAUCAUAAAUCGAAUGGGGAGUGGGGAUCGACAAUCCAGCAACAGCAGCAGGUGUGUAGGUAUACAGAUCACAGACGAGAAGGAGGCCUAGUGCUAGUGGACUACAUUAGCAGUGGCGUCACGCAGCAGAUAGUUGGCGCGGGAGGAGAGACCAAGACCAAGGAACUCGGCUUUGAAGAUGCGGUCGUCGUCUUCCUCGAGCCCCGCCGCGAGGCACGGCCGCACAACGAUCGCCCCUGAGAAUCCAGAGCCGCGUGCCAUCCCCAGGGCGCGUGGCGAUGCAGAGAGCAGGUCCGAGCAUACCCUUCCGAACGCGGUCCACCGGAAGCGGAAGGACCAGGGACGCCGGCAAAGCCCAAGUCCGCGUCCGUCGGGAACGACGACGACCACAUCGUCUGCACCACCGUCGUGCAAGACAACUGUGCAUAGUAUGACAAAAGUGAAGAAAAUGAAGGGUCAUACAGAAUAUAUUUUUCUAAACAAAUUAUAAAUGGGUAUAUAUAUACAUCAUGUUCAACAUAAACAGGACAUACUUUUUAAAAUGUGUUUGUUACCUUUUCUAGAAGUAGAGCCAAUCAUUUUUUUUUUCUGAGAUCGAAGUGCCAUGGAAAGACUGAAACUAACCUAAGAGUGCAAACCAUUGACUAGAAAAAAAGUCACACAACAGCAUCCAUGUUUCAGUAAAUCUUCCGAGAUUCAGAACGACAAGGCUGGAGUACGCUAAAGAUAUUCACCUGAUCGGAAACAUAUAUAGGCUUAUUGUUAGACGGAAAACCAAAGGCAUUAAUAAGGGAAAAAAUGUAUAACUAACCAGAACAAUGAUCAAAAAGCAGUAAACAACAUGCCGAACUUGUAAAUAGUUGUAUGAGACUACAGAUGUGAUUUACAGGCACUUACCAGUUUGAUGUACAGGGUGGAAGGCACGUGGAGAGAUUCAUGCUUUAGAAUUCAAAAUUGUGAAUAGAUAGAGAGAGAACCCAGAGGACAGAAUAAUACACAAAUAUGAAGAAAUGUCCUGCACAGCAGAUGGAAACAAACCGGUUACCUAGAAGAAAACAUAAAUUGUGAUCAAAUAAACGAGACAAGAAUGACUGAGGUUUAUGGGAUUAGGGAGAAGCAGGGAAAUUGGUGGGUUGGAAAUUCCACCUCUUUUUACCUUGGGUUUGUCAGGCAUUGACUAUUGGAAUGAUAUUUAUCAACUUGCGGCACUGCCUCCUUAGCUCCUCACUUCUGCUGUCACUGACAUAUAAUUCUCGCAGUGAACUUGGAAGGUCAUCCACCUCGGGCAGCGACCGUAUUGCUGGACAGUCUCUGAUCACUAACUUUCGCAGUGAAUCUGGGAGGCAAUCCUUGGGCAGUGACUGGAGUUCUGGACAACUCAUGAUAUACAAUUCUUCAAGUGAACUUGGGAGAUCAUCCUUGGGCAGCAUCUGGAUUGCUUUGGACGACCAGAUUUGUAACCUCUUGAGGUUGUGAAGUGUAUGUAGCCGUUCAGGGAGGGACUGCAGGUUACUGCUGCCAAAAAAUAUGAUACACUCAAGGGAGUCAACAAACAGAAGGGCCUCUUGCUGCUCUGUGAAGCGCCCCAACCUAUGAUCAUAUUGAAUUUUCAAUUUGGUGAGCGAGGAAAAGAUCAGGCUACGAUGAAUGGCCGCAGUAGUGAAUCCAGUCACAUUAUCUAUUUCGAGCUCCUGCAGUUUGGAGGAACAGGAUGGAAUCUCCUGUUCAUGCACCUGUGAGGGAUCGGAAUCAACAAAGAAAUUGGGCCUUUCCAUGACAGAUAAUUUGGUGAGAUGGCCUUGGGCGAGGAGAGACAACCAUCCCUCGCCUCUUAAAUCCCCACAGCUGGAUAUGUCUAAACUUGUGAGAGAGGUGAGGUUUGAUAGAGGCACUGAUGCCCGUGUGCCCACUGCUCCGUCAAUAGAAAGGUGUUCCAGGGAGUUGGGGAAGGGGAAAGAAGAAGAGAAGGAUGAAUAAGACGAGUAGGCGGACAGGAGCUUGGGGCAAUUGUUGAUUCGCAGCUGUCGGAGGGAGGUUAGACCUUGGAGCCCUCCUCCUCUUCCCCCAGUUCCUCCAUCUUCUUCGUUGCUGUCGUCAUGUGGAUUGGAGCGGAGGAGGCUCAGCUCUGGGCAAAACCAGAUCCGCAGCUCUUGCAGUUGGGGAGGCAAAAGCAACAUGCCACGUUCUGCUUCUUCUGAUGCAACUAUUUCGUCCUCUGCUGUUGGGUCCACAUUGUUAGCUGAACAUAAUGGUGCAGUUAUUUCUGUUGCCUGUUGCCCCGUCACACUCAGCCCUGUUAUUUUAGUUGUUGCCCCCAGCCAUAUAUCUGACAGCCUUGUAAAGUAAGUGAGUAGCUGUGUUAGCUGCUUCCCACUAGCAUUCCACUCUGGGAAGCAUAAAUGUUCAACUGGAAACUGGUAUUUGACAUGGCUGUCAGCUUGAACAAAUGGAAAGGCAUUACUGGAACAAGACAUCUCUAGGGUCCUUAGGGAUGAUAGAAUUUGUAAGCAACUUAGUGGUGGGGGUUGGCACCUCCGCAUCCUCAUCUCCUUCAGUCCAGUUAGGUUAUGAAAAUCCAGCACAUUUCAAAUCGUGCUAUGAAUUGUAUCCUUCUUUCUUUCAUCAAAAAAAUUUGUAUCAUUUCCCUCUAUUUUCAAAUAAUAUUCACGACUGAAAUUUCCUUUUCCACAAACCAAUUUAUCAAGACUUGAACUUCCGAUUCCUUGUAUAUUGAUGUUGCGUAGAGCCUUAUUCCAAGGAAUGGGAGGAAAUGAUAGUAGCUGUGGACAUUUCUUGAUCUCGAGCUCCAAGAGCCUAGGAAAUGAAUUUACAUUUGGCUCUUUCCUUUGUUGACAACAAGCCAAAUGUUGAAAGGACAACCCCUCUAGUUGAGAGCAACCACUGAUGAUAAGUACUUCCAAGAAACGAAACAACUGACAGGGAGCAUGUACAACCCACCUUUUCAACCAUGGUAAGUUUACAAGUUCUAGCCUUCUCAAAUUUUCAAACCUUAUGAUAGGGAUAUUAUUUGAUGUGCCAAGCCUAUCAACUGGCCACAAGUCUCCUAUAGGGGGAUAUGUUUUCCAAGCUACACCAUCUAGGCAGAGAGAUUCCAAACUUUUGAAGGAGAGGUUGGUACCAAGCCAGGAAGGGCAAGUGGUUCCUCUGUGCCCUUUAAUAGAUAACUUUAGAAGAUUGUUGUUUGGCUUAAGCCUUUCAAGAACAUGUUCUUCUAGUGUAUAGUCUAUGGGAGACCGGUCAAUAUUAAACCAAUGUAAUGUCAACUCUUGUAGUCGGCUUUUUUGCGACAGUUUUGCUUCAUCUACUUCUUCCUUCACGUGGACUUUUUCAAGAUUAUCAAUGCUCAAUGAUCCACAAAGGUGUACCAAAUGUCCUAUCUCCCCUAUUUCAAAACCUUUAUCUUCUUAACUCUUGUAGUGAUUUUAAUUUCCCAACCUCAACAAUACUAGAGUGUGUUGAAUCAUCUUGAACAUGAAAAUGACGCAAUUUUCCAAGGUUGCUCAUAUCUCUUGGUAAAACAUCGAUGUAAGCAUAAUGAUGUGCAUCUAGAACCAUCAUGUGAUAGAAUCUGGAAAGUUUGUUAGGAAAUCUUGCUUGACGUAGAGAAGAACCUCCAAUCCAAAGGUAGCGAAGAUGGACAAGAUGGUAAAAGUUGUGUAGCAAAUCUUCCACAUUAUAUGAUGUGUCAGAUAGAAAAAUCACACGAAGGGCCUUUGCUUCCCUAAAUAAAUCACAAAAAGCUUUCACAAAGCAACCAUGGAGUCCCCUAAAUAUCAUCAAAGUCUGCAGUUUUUCAACUUUUAAUCUUGUACCCAAUGUAUUGAUAUCCUCAACACUAUUUUUUAGAGUCAAUCUAUCCUUGGCACUAGUAUCAUCUAUGUUGAUAGACAAAUGGCGAAUUGAUGGUAGGACUUCUAAUGUGCUCACUUGAGAUUGAGAACUAUCUAUAUUAAGGCAUUCAAGUGAUGAAACUUUCCGUGCCAAUUCAUGUAAGAGAUCAUGAACAAUAUAAAAAGUUUGUCCAUCUUCGUCCACUUUGUUUUCCAAAAAUCCAUAAUUAAGCAACUCAGUCAAAUGACUUCGCCCGAUGUCUUCAACUCUUUUAUUUUGACCAUGUAAUGAAUGCAAGACUUCUUGUCCUAUCCAGAAGUUAACUAGUUCUUCUCUUUUGAAUCUGUAAUCUUGAGGAAACAAAGCACAGAACGAGAAGCACUGCUGAAGCUGAGAAGGCAGGUGAUCAAAGCUCAACUUCAGUGCAGACAUAAUGUCAUUCUUGCCGCUACUAUGCUCCCAUUCCUUACUUUCUAAGAUUCUAGUCCAAUGAGCCAAAUCAAGUUCGGUUUUCAACAAUCUACCAACAGUUUUUGCUGCAAGAGGGGAACCCUUUAGUCUACCAGCUAUCUUGAACCCAGUUUCUAGCAAGGAUGUGUGGUCCUUUCUAGAUUGAUCAUCAUCACCAAAGAUAACUUCUAGGAAUAAUUCCUCAAAUUCUUUAUUUUCUAAACCUUGCAAAUAUAUUGGCUGAUCGUUUUUUCGAACCACUAUUUGUGCUUGUCCUGGAAACCUUGUGGUGACUAUAAUUAUAUUACCUUGUACUUGUGAUUUUUGGAAUGGCACCAGUUGCUGUUUCCAUUCAUCCUCAUCACUGCAGUCCCAUAUAUCAUCUAAUACAAGCAAUAGCCUCUUAUUUUUCAACCUUUGCCGAAUUAACUCACCAGCAGUACCAUUACUACUUUCAUCAUCAAUUUUAGGGAUAUAUCCUUGAAUUUCUCCUAUCAGCUUAUUCACAUUAAAGUUGAGUGAUACUCAUGUCCAAACUUUGACAUCGAAACGGUCUUGCACUUCUGGACUGUGAUAUAUAUGUUGUGCAAGAGUUGUCUUUCCUAUGCCCCCUGGACCGCGAAGGUUCGACCUCUGUGCCCAAGCCUAGGAACCUUAGCAUUCGAAGCAUCUAGGAGGAAGUGGGCGAAUCCCCAACAGUUUCCCCCCUUUUGAGUGUGGGGCCAUUCCUAUGGGCCGUGGGCUCAAAACCUAGACCUCCCCCUACACUGGUGGGGGGGCGGAGGUUGUGGUUUCCCCUAGUGCGUAGGAUAUGACCAUUGUUGGUUAUUUAUGUUCUUUGACUAAAACUGUUGUUGACACGAUGGUUUCUCCCCGAGAAUCGUGAACGACGAUGGUUGCAGGUUGCCGUUGGGUCUCGAACACUGAAUCGCCAAAGGCUUCCCUAUAUAAGGGGGGGGGGUCGUGAGGUUUUCACACAGCCAUUUGCGCCUAGCCUUUCUUCUGCCUUCGCUCUCACUUGCCCUCUAGACACUUUCUAUUGUAGUCUGCAGUGGCUACUCAUCCUUCGCCUCGUCCUGUCCAAGCCAAUUUUGCUGGCCCUUUUCAUGAUUUGUUGAGCGUUAGGUCCGGAGGUUGGUUCCAUUGUUUUGAGGAGUGCAUGUUGGACAUUGCUACCGCUCAAGAAUUGGAAGAAGACAUGUCCGAUGUCAAAGGUCCCCGGCAAGGCGCGAAGGUUUGACCUCUGCGCCCAACCCUGGGAACCUUAGCAUUUGAAGCAUCUAGGGGGAAGUGGGUGAAUCCCCAACAAAGAGAGUGGUGGGUUUUAGCAUAAGUGCUUAUAUUUGUGAAAACAUUAAAUACUAAAAUUACGUAAAUUUGUGAAUAGAGGGGGUAUUAAGCUUGUUUCUAGGAGGUACUUUAUGUGAUUUUACUUUUAAAGGAAAGUGAAUUGAUACAUGUUAGUAAUCUCAUACCUUGUCUUAAGUUGUGCUGCAUAGGAUUUUAAAUAAUAUAAAAGAUAGAUGAACAUGAGAGAAAGAUGCUGUUGUUUUACAAAGCAACUUAAAAGACAACCGAUUGUAUGGGUUCUCAAUCAAAUCAUCUUCAUAUUACUUGUUGUAUGACGACUCUAUUUCCAUUAGAACUCAAGAGAGGUGUGGUAUUGGGACUUCUAAUUCUGCUAUGACUUGAGUGUCUUCUCUUGCAUGUAUGAGAGCUUUGGAAGGGACUAUAUAUAAACAAGGGGUGGAGGCCAUAGACAUAAACUAAAGCCUAUAAGGAGCAAUUAGGAGCGCUUAAGAGAAUUAGGAUAGAUAGUUCUAUUGUAUUAGAUUUUUGUGUGGGGCAAGAAUUAGUGUGUCUAGAGUGUCAAAUAGAGUUGUGGGAGAGCAACAAUCUCUUGUGCUCUUGGAGUUGUGAUUAUCGAAUUUGAGGCCGACUUCGCCAAAAUCCUAAUCUCUUAUCAUGUUUGCUUCAACAUCAACAUUUAGGAUUUUCUACUUGAUUCGUCUACAUCAUUCUACAUAUUGUUCAUGCUUGUCUCAUACUCACAAGAUUCUCUCAACAAUCUGAGGGCUCACUACUACAAAAAAUCUUUUGCGAGGCAUUUUGGAAUAGGCCUCGGAGGCGGGCAACAAUUCAAACCGCCUCGGUUAAUGCCUAGGAUUAACCGAGGCGGUCUUUUUUAUUAACAGAGGCGGUUACAAAUAACCGCCUUGCAAAAUCAAUUAACCGAGGCGGGCAUAUUAAGUUAAUCGCAUCCAAAAAUCAUCUAUUUUCGGAGGCGGUUGGCUAAAGAUGUCCGCCUCCAGAAAACAAUUUUUGGAGGCAGGCAUACUAUAAUGCACGCCUCUAAAAAGGUCAAAGCCCAACAGGGCCAAACGAGUGCAAUACACAUCUUCCAAUAUAAAUAUAAGAGAAUUAGGGUUCACACUUCUAUCUUUAUGAGACACCGAGCAGCACCGUUCCCCUUCCCUCUCCUUCGACACACCGAACCCCAACGUCGCCCCUCCCUUCCUCUCCCUCUGAGACCUCCCUCUCCCUCUCCUCGUGAGGACCAAGCCCUAGCGCCGCCCCUCCCUUCCUCUCCUCCCUCUCCUCCCGAGGACGCGCGGGGGCGAGCUCCCUCCCACGACAUGUCUCCACCACCACCAUGGCGUGCGGCCAGAUCUGAUGGCGGCGUGACCGGGGAGGCCAGAUCUGGUGCGCACUCCUCUUCUUCUCCACCAUGGUGGCCAAAGAGGGUGCAUGUGGCGGUGGGUCGCUGGAUCUAGCGGCAAGCGGUUGGAUCAGGCGUCUGGUGGCCUGAUCUACUGGCUACGCGUGGUCUAGGCUCCUUCCUCUUCCCCGAUGGCGCUGGAGAGGCAGCUGGAGCUGGGGUGAUGGACCGAUAGUGGCAGCACGAGGUCUAGAUAUGUGCGUCCUAGAUCCAGGCCCGUGUGGGAUUUUUUAUUUUUUUUAUGUAUUUUAAUCCAUUAACAAAGGCAGGCAAAGAAACUGUCUCCUUUAAUCCUCCAUUUGCCGUGGCCCUCAAUUGGAGGCGUUUUGUGUGCCCGCCUCGCAAAAUCAAUUUUGCCCGCCUCGGUUAAGUUUAUUGUAGUAGUGACUACUACGCAUAACUAGAGGUAUGAGAUUCUAACGUUAUAUGAUACUCAAUGCAAGACCUAUAAGGUAACACUAGUAUACUUAAUUACCCAAAGGAAUCCAAGAAUAAUAAGGUGAGGCUUGUACUAAUCUAGUAACCCGAUGGGCCGUCAUUUGAUCCUGGAAACUAACGUUUUGAUGGUCCAACAAACAUGGGUAUCAGACCAUGAAGAUCUUUCGGUGUCAGGUGUUCUGAUUGAGGAGCUAAAGUCGAUUACGUCCUUUAAUUUUAUUAGCUGUGAUUGUAUUCAUGUCCCUAGAGAUUGUAACAAGGCAGCUCAUGCCCUGGCUGCGCUUGGUGUGUGUAGCAUCGAAGGGAUGGAGCACUUUGAGUGCAAUGUCCCGGAGAGUGUCAGUGUAAUUGUUGUUGAUGAUUUGUCGACGCCAGUUCAAUGAAAAUCUACCCAAGUUCAAAAAAAAAGUAAUCCAAUGAGCCCUUUGGACAAUAGUUUGCCAUUAUCAUGCUUGUUAGAUUUAAAGUUCAUUCUAGGAGUCUAAAGUGGGACAUGAUAAGAAUGAAAUAAGAUUGUUUUUCUCUUCAUCAAAAAAAGCGAACGUCAAGGUAUUAAAGCUUAUUUUUUCCUUAAAAAUGUAACAGUUAAUGUUGAUUGGUAAGAAUAUUUGAGCUGCCGGUUUGCAUCCCACUAAAAAAUAAUGAAAAGGAAAUACUAUUUAUGGAUAUUUCCCACACAUUAUCCAUUAGUUUUCACUAAAGAAACAUAUCAAGUUGGUUUUAAGAAAAUAAGAAUUAAAUCACAUGUCAUGACUGCACCCCCAAAAAUUAACAUAUUCUAAAGUUUAAGAUACUUUCCAUACUCAAAUAAUGUAAUAAAGUUCAGAAAGGGCUGCUUAAUGGGGGAUAUAAGAUAGGAAAAAGUCUACGUAACCUCCCCCCAAAACUAUCUAGGGUGGAAUACUUCAUGCCCAAAACUAUAAAACCGGAUAUUCUACUCCCUAAACUUUCAAAAUCGGUCAAAUAACCCCCUAGAAUGGUUUUAGAGGGUGGUUUUGUUUUUUCCUUUUUAUUUAUUUCUGCUGAAUUUUUGAAAAAUCAUAAUAAAUCACAAAAAAAUCAUAAAAUGAAAAAUUCAAUUUUGUUAGACUUGUGAUGAGUAUAUCUACACAAUGAAUAUAUAAUAUGGUAUACUUUAGUACAAAGUUUUUUGUUGUAGCUUUAAAUCUAUAUUUUUCUAUAAUUAAUAAGAAUAAUUCAUAUAUGUAGUUCCUAUGGUUCAAUCGUGGAAAAAACUUUUAUGGUGGGCUCAUUAUUGUAUGCUUAAACUAUGAUAAAACUUUCAUACCCAUCGGAUCACGUAUAACUUAGUUAUAGAUUUAUUUAGCUUUAUUCUUGUUAAAUCUAUGCUUUAUCUAUAACUAAGUUAUAUGUGAGCAAAUGAGUAUAAAUUGUUACUAUAGUUGAAGCAUAUAAUAAUGAGCCCACCAUAGAAAUUUUACCACAACUGGACCAUAAGAACUACAUAUAUGAAUUAUUUGAAUUAAUCGUAGAAAAACAUAGAUUUAAAGCUACAACAAAAACUUUAUACUAAAGUAUACCAUAUUAUAUAUUCACUGUGUAGAUCUACUCAUCAAGAGUCUAACAAAUUUGAAUUUUUAUUUUAUGUUUUUUGUUAUUUAUUAUGAUUUUUCAAAGAUUCAACGGAAAUAAAUAAAAAAUAAAAAGACAAAACCACCCUCUAAAACCACUCUAGGAGGUUAUUUGAUCGGUUUUGAAAGUUCAGAGGGUAGAAUAUCUGAUUUUAUAGUUUGGAGGAUGAAGUAUUCUACUCUAGAUAGUUUUUUUUGGGGGGGGGGUGUUAUGUAGCCUUUUUCCUAUAAGAUAUCAUACCUGGUGUUCUACCAAUAAAUCUUUGCCAUUUUGAACACAACAACUUUCUUCUGCUACAUUAAGAUCUUCAAUUAUAUUUGAUACAUCUGGCCUUUUCUCCUUAUCAGGGUGCACACACUCCAAGGCUAUGUGGAUGCACUGUUUUACUAGUUGGGUAUGUAGUUCCGGUGAUGUAUACUUUGAUGACCUUUCGAAUCUGUUCCUCCAAUUACUUAGCACCUACACAAUUGCAUAAAUAAUAAGUGGGCUAGAGUGAUGGUACAUAUGAAGGAGCUCUGUUAGUCCAUCUUACUUUCUCUGUGAAGUGCUGGAAAUCUGCUUCGGUGCUUUGGCGAUGGUCUGGAUAGUCGUCCCUGCAGCCUUUGAGUAUCUCUAUGAUUAUGACACCCAAACUGAAUAUAUCUGCUUUCUUUGAGAUUAUGCCCCUGUCUAUGUAUUCUGGUGCCAUGUAUCCCCUGCAGUAGACAUCAAGAGUUUGAGAUGCGGCAAGUAUAAUCGAGACCAUACUAAGAAAACAAAUGAUAUUUGUUGUGGGGUGUAGCUUACGUGGUUCCGCGGCAAUUUGAAGAGACAGUUUUGGAUUUCUGUUCACUCAAAAACCUUGACAAACCGAAGUCCGCAAAUUUUGGAACCAUAGUAGUAUCCAUUAAUAUAUUUUGAGGUUUAAGGUCCAGAUGAAUAAUAUUGCGCCCAUGAAGGUAUUUCAAACCACUGCAUAUUCCCCUAAUUAUCUUGUAUCUUGUGUUCCACUCAAGACCUGAAGAUUCAUCUGUGGGAAUUUUUUCUAGACAUAAUUAAUCUUGUCAUACCAUGCUUAAUAAUAAGAGCAAUGAAACACAUUUUGUGUGGUUGAGUGCAGUACGUAAUAGUAAUAUCUAGCUUCUAACCAAAUUUGUUAUGUAUAGAUAGUCAAUUUCUGUCUGACCAAAUUUAUAAAGAAGACUCAUAUUGAUAACACCAAAUAGGAAUACUAUCAAGAUAUAUUUUAUGAUGGAUCUUAUCACACUUAUUUAGUACUUAUUAUAAAUACUAAGGCUAUAUAUAUAUAUUUUUGUAUAUUCUUGUUCAAAUUUAAGAUGUUUUCACUCAACUGCUGGUUCGUUGCCAGGCGUUGCCUCAUCGGAAACUUCUUGUGAAGCUUUGACGAAGCAUCCCCCAUGCAUCAUUUAUUGGAGCAAUCCGGUGGCUAGGGCUGAAGAGGAUCUUGCAAGAGCGGUAACGGUGUCUGUGAUCAAUGAUGAACCACUGGCCGCGGUGGAGGAGGUGGCAGUGGUGAUCGCGGCCAGAAUUGAUGUUGCUGCCAGCUCCUUAGUGCUUCGCAGGCUUCUUCCUCAUGUUACCUGCCAGUCCUUCCUAGCUUGGCCUUGGUUGAGCAUCUGGUUGGGCUGCGGCAGCCAGUGAGCCUUGGUUGAGCUCAACUUCAGGCCGCGUUCUGCCGUUCUUGAUCGAUAUUGAGCUUUGUGGCAUACCACAUACUGAACCAUGUUUGGGAAACCUCUCCUGUGGAUCGUUUCUUGAGUCCUCAUGCUUGGGUUGAAUACGUGCAUCCUGAUACCCUUGGGCUUGUGGACCUAUCUUGCUUUCGGUGCUUGGCUUGGAGUACAGACCUGUUUGUGCUCCCCUCCUUAAGGCCUUGUUUGGAUGUAGUCGGAUUCGCAUCAAUCCACAUGUGUUGGUGUGGAUUGAAAUAGAACUUGAACUAAAUUCCACCUCAAUCCACUCCAACACAUGUGGAUUGAUGCGAAUCCGACAACAUCCAAACAAGGCCUAAAGGAACUCUGGAUGGUCGAGCCACCGACGGCCGUUGUUGAAGAUCCUCCAGUUAAAAGGGUUUUGGCUAACCCCUAUCGACCUUGGUAUUCUAGGUGCCAAGCCCUUCUCCCUCUGAUGGAGGGGAUGAUGACGUUGAUUUCACAAGACAGCAAUGACAUGUUCCCUCCCCCUCUCCACCAUCCAGCUCAGGUCUGGCGGGUGGUGAAGCUUCCAGGUUCCAGCCAUCGGUCCCGACGUUGCUGAUGUCGCACGUAUUGCUGAGUUUUCGGUCCCCUCGAUGGCUUCCUGUACAUUAAUGCGGUUUGAAGUGGACUCUGGGCCUAAUACUUUUGAGGGCAUCCUCAUCUCUAGCUCGGCAGAUGCGGCACCUCCUGGGCUGAAUUUGGGCCCUCGACUUGGGAGUGAUAUUUCCACUGGACUGGGUGAGCCUAUGGUUUGGGGCUCCCCCGGCCAGGCAACAGUGUCGUGCUUUUCCAUAAGCUCCGCUGUUGGCAAGGCAAUGGAUGGAGCGUCAGUUCCGGCCUCACCACACUCGCCUCAAUGCUCCCCUGUGCCUAUCAUCCCAGAGUCCUAUCUACUAGCACCUAAUCCUCCCCUGCCAGUGCCAGCAUCUGGCGUGGGACCUGCCUCUCUGUCGGCUGCCAGCUACUUGGUUCUGGUUUCCAUGUUAAUUAUAGUAAGCUCUUCACGCCAGAUGCUCUCUGAUUUCCAUGUUUGUGCUUUAGCGGCUAUUUUUGGCUAAGAAGUAGGAGAUGGUGAGUAGGUGCAAGUUGCAGAUGUCCUUACAAUGUUAUGGUUUGGCUCUUUGUUGGGGUCGAUCUAUAUCUCAGGUCAAAUGAAUCCUUCUUCUAUUCUAGUUUGGAAUGUUGUUUGCAAGAAACUAAGGCCAUGAAUAUAUCUCAGCAUCUGUUCUUUUCGGUCUUUUUUUUUUUGAACGCAAUGGCAGGAGCUCUGCCUUUCAAUUAAGUAGGAGAGCAAAAGAGUUUAUGUACAAGCAAAUAAAGAAAAAAGAAAGAAAAGUGUGGGUUCGAAUCGUGCUCCUGGCCAAUCAGACUAGAGGAGGUGUUCUGAUUGCUUGGAAGGGCUGUUCUUGCUAGGCAGUUGCAUCAAGUGUAGACACUUAUUCAGCUUUUGAUUUGUUUUCAGAACAACAGGGUCGCAAUUGGUGGUUUACUGGCGUCUAUGGGCCACAAAGAGAUGAUGAGAAGGCGCUGUUUCUGCAAGAGCUGAGGGAUAUCAGGGCCCUGUGUAAUGGACCUUGGCUCCUAGGUGGAGAUUUUAAUUUGAUUUAUCAGGCAGCUGACAAGAACAAUGCAAAUUUGGUUAGGGCAAUGAUGGAGAGAUUCAGGUGUUUUCUGGAUGACAAUGAUCUCAAGGAAAUUCCACUCUUGGGUCAUAAAUACAGUGGGUCCAAUGAGAGGAGAUCGCGUACUCUGGUGAGACUGGAUCAGGCUUUUUGCUGUGGUGAUUGGGAAAAUAUUUUUCCGUUUGCUGUCCAGCAAAGCAAUGCAGCUGGGGUCUCAGAUCACUGCCCACUCCUUGGUUUGAAAGUGAGCACUAGCGGCAAGUGUCGAUUCCAUUUUGAAUGUUUCUGGACCAAAAUGCCUAGAUUUCUUGAUGCUGUCAGUCUGAAUUGGGAGGCUCAGAUACAAUCUAAUUAUGCUGUAGAGCGCCUCUUUACUAAACUGCAGCAUCUCAGUAAGGGUUAGGAAAAUGGGGACAGCAGAAAGUAGGGAAUAUUAAAUCUUAGCUAGAAUUAACCAAGGAGAUUCUUCACCAUUUGGAAAUAGAAAGAGAUUCGAGGGCACUCUCUGAACAUGAGGAAUGGCUGAGAAAGAAGCUUAAAGUUCACUGUCUCGGUUUGGCUUCUCUAGAGCGAACCAUUGCACUGCUACGGUCUAGGAUACUAUAUCUUCAGGAAGGUGAUGCCAAUACUGGCCUUUUCCACCAACAAGCUAGAUAUAGAAAAAAGAAGAGUUUCAUCCCCAAACUGCAAGUUGGUAAUCAGGUGGUCGUCUCGCAAGAGGAGAAGCAGAAGGCAGUGGAUAAUUUCUAUGAGAACAUUCUUGGCAAGGCUAAAGAAAGGGAUUAUACUCUUGAUUUAGAUGAAUUGGCUAUUCAACACCAUGAUCUAUCUGAACUGGAUGUCCCAUUCUCUGAGGAGGAAGUGUGGGCUACUAUAAAGGAAAUGAACUUGGACAAGGAUCCUGGCCGGAUGGAUUCACAGGGAGGUUUUACAAAUCCUACUGGAGCAUUAUUAAUUGUGAUGUGCUGAUGUCGUUAGAUGCCAUUCAGAAAGGCCAUGUUUUCAAAUUCUAACUCCUGAACAUGCAUGGUACCCAGCUACCUAAGAAAGUGGAUGCGGUGGAAGUAAAGGAUUUUCGGCCUAUAAGCCUGAUCCAUAGCUUUUGCCAAAUUCGUGACUAAGCUCUUGGCUAAUUGGUUGGCCCCUCAUUUACCUUCCUUGAUCUCUGUAAACCAAUGCGCUUUUGUGCAGGGAAGGAAGAUCCACGACUAUUUUAUGGUGGUUCAACAGAUGGUCAAAUCUCUACAUAAGAAGAAAGAGGCACAUAUCCUUCUUAAGUUGGACAUUUCCAAAGUGUUUGAUUUUGUUUCUUGGUCGUUUCUCCUGGAAGUCAUGUGCAAGGCGGGAUUCGGCCAGUGGUUGCAGGACCUCAUUUGCCUGAUCCUUUUCACCUCUUCGAGACAAGUUUUGGUCAAUGGAGAGCCUAGGGACACUAUUUUUCAUCACCGCAGUCUCAGACUGGGAGACCCCCUAUCAUCGAUGUUGUUUGUUCUAGUAAUGGAUGUCCUGAAUUUCUUGGUCAAUUUUGCCACUUCGAUGGGUAUGUUGCAGCCUCUUGCCAUUCAGCAAGCACGACACCAGGUCUCCUUUUAUGCUGAUGACACGGUUAUAUUUUUUAGACAAUACAAUUUGGAUCUGAUCACUGUUAGACAUCUCCAAGAGUUCAGUCUUCCCUAUUCAGUGUGCUGAGGAGGAGUUGACACUCACAGCAAACAUCCUCUCAUGUCCCAUAAAGGCUUUCCCUUGUACAAGAGGUUUUGCUACCUUUAGUAGACAAGGUGGCAGAGUAUCUCCAUGGAUGGAAGGCUUCUCUAAUGAAUAGGGUUGGGUGGUUGGUCAUGGUGAAGGUCGUGCUUACUGCUGUCCCAAUAUAUCUUUUAAUAGCCUUGGACCUUCCGAAAUGGGUGCUUAAGGCUAUUGAUAAAAAGUGCCAAGGAUUCCUUUGAAAAGGUCUCCAAUAGGCCAAUGGUGGCAAUUGUGUGAUAGCCUGGGAAAAAGUAUAGAGACCACUGGAAUAUGGAGGCCUUGGGAUUCAUAAUCUUGAACUUCUUGGUAGGGCACUUAGGAUUCGGUGGCUCUAGUCGCAAAAGAUAGUGGCUCAUAGGCCUUGGGCUAGCCUUCCUGUUAGAAAUUUAGACAUUUUAAUGUUUGAUUUAAUCCAGAAAAUUACACAUAAUAAAGUGGUGGCAUAUAUGUGCACGUGUGCAAUUUUAUCGCUACUCAGAUUAGAGAUAAACAUUGCAAAUACUACUGUAGACAUACUGAAAAUAAAAUACAAUCGUUUAGGAUUGUACCCAGAGGGACCAGUGCCGAAGGCACCGGCGGCUCCAUUCGCACUAGUCGACAUAGUGCGUUGCUUAAAGUAGCAGACCACAGUCGAUGCAAGAAGAUGUAGCCGACCACAGUCCACCAGGAAGAAGACGAACUAGCCGAUCUCUUGACGCCACCAGGAAGAAACCGAUCCGAGGUAGCAGGAAGUAGCCGAUCUCGCCGAUUCCAGGUAGCGAGCAGUCGCGGAAGAUGCUCCCCAAAAACCUAAUUGCCCGCACACCCGAGCAGGUGUCUCGAUGCAAGGCGUCGGGGGCCUGCUCUCCCGAUCUCUUUGCGCGCAGAGGUUUGGGAUGGGGAUAAACCAGAGAGCAACUCGACAGGAAGAGAUGAGAGGAGGACUGAUGUGUUGUGUCUCGCAGAAGGAAAAAAUGACACGGGUAAGGAAUAUAUAGGCCAAAGAGGAAACGUCUGGUGUGCGCGUCUCGUCUCAUCUCGACACGCACACAUGCUCGCUCGCCUCGGCACGGCUCGGCGGCGCGCGUGCGUGGCACCCUCUCUCUCUUCCUCAACUUCUCUAUAGGAGCUAUCAACGGCCGCCUAUUUAAGUUGAGUUAACACAUGGUCAACAAUCAAUCCGGUAUUAAACUGUUUGCAUUAUAGCAUUUAUUAUGGGCCCUUGAAUUAAUCAUCAAAUAGAAUAUGGGCUUAAGGCCCACAUUAUAUUCAACACUUCCUAUCACUAUUCCUUAUAAAGCCCGAGCCGUCUUCAAUGUUGUAGUUGAUGCCAUAGUUGGAAAUGGAGAGGAAAUCUUGGUCUGGAUAGAUAGAUGCUUGGAGGUGCAUACCAUGGCUGAAAUAGCGCCUAAUAACCUAUUCAAAACAAUUCAAAAAUGAAUAGCCAAAAGAAGGAAUGUGGCUCAAGCACUACAUAAUAGAAGUUGGGUACAAGAUAUUAAGGGAGCUCAUACAGUAGAGGUCCUCCUGGAUUACCUCCACAUUUGGGAUAUUGUGGAGGAAAUUAUUUUGCAACCAGAGAUUCCAGACCAUUUUAGAUGGAAAUUAUCAUAUGAUGGUUCUUACAACAGUAAAUCUGCAUAUGCAGCCUUCUUUCAGGGAUCCAUCAAGUUUGGUUCUUGGAGAAGGAUUUGGAAAACCUAGGCUCCCCCGCAGCGUAAGUUUUUCAUCUGGCUGGUGUUCCACAAUCGGGUUUGGACAGCCGAUCGACUAGCGAAGAGGAAUCUUGCCCUUCCUGAGUCUUGUCCCUUAUGUGAUCAAGAAGAUGAAACAAUAAAUCAUUUGCUAGUGGGGCUGUGUUUUUGCUCGACAAGUCUGGUCCCUGGUUCUACAACAGUUAGGACUGCUGCAGUUAACAACACAGCCUACUGUGACCCGUUUCUCGGGUGGUGAAAAAGGUUAACUGCAGCUGUCCCCAAGGAAGUGCGUAAAGGCCUCAACUCCUUAAUAAUUUUGAUGGCACAGGAGAUUUGGAUUAUCGCAGCUCUUGCGUCUUUGAUAAUAAGAGACCAAGCGUUCAGGAAGUCCUUAGGGCAAUUAACUCUGAGGGAGGGCUCUGGUGCUCGGUAGGAACUUGUAUUUAGGUCGCUGCCUGCUAGAGCUUAACGCACGGAGGCUUUUGGUCGUUUCUGUUAUUUGUGUGGCGAGUCUGUAACUUAGUAUCCAAGGUGUGGGGUGUGUGUGUUGGGUCUCUUUGACCAUUUAAUAGUUUUUUUACCUUAAUGAAAUGAUGUGCAGUUCUCCUGCGCUGUUCGAGAAAAAAAACUGGAAUAACCUUUUUUAGAUGGAGGCAACAUAUUUCAUUGUUCUGCUGAUUGUGAAAUGUAAACUAGAGAAAAUGAAAACAAAGGAAGCUGAUAAAUUAUGUCCCGUACGUGUUUCUGAAACGUACCUGAAAGAUGCUUAUCAAGGCCUCCAUUACACAUAUACUCGAAGCAGAGCAUUCUUGUUUGCGCUUCAGCAACAAUGACUUUCCCGGUCGGUUGCUUUAUCAUCACCCCCUUUGAUUCAGCACAGUACCCUAGAAGCUGUAUUAUAUUUUGGUGUUUGAGAUCCAUCAGAAAAGAAGCCUCGUUCUCGAAGGAUGGGUGAUCACCCGCCAGAAUUAUCUCAUUAAACUUUUUGACAGCAAUAACUGAACCGCACCGGAGAAUGCCCUUCAUAGAAUUGAUGUUUUAUCCGUUCAUUAAUUAUUGCUGCCAACAUUUGAAGAUUGAUUGGAGCGAAAAGAAUCAGUCAUACCUUGUAAACCACUCCGUAGCCACCCCUGCCGAGUUCUCGCUCAAUGCAAAAAUCACGUGUCAUCAAUUUCAGGUAGUAUAGGGGCACAGAAAUUGGUCCUGCAGUUGGAUGCAGCAGUUUGUUCUCCAACUCCAGUAUCUCACUUUCAGUAGCUCUGCUGUCCAUUCCUAUAUAUAAGGAGCCAGCCUUAGGUGGGAAAAAUUAUACUUGGGUCAAACAUAGAUUGUUAUGGUAUUUUAAUUAUUAUACUGUUAUGAGCUGCUCCAACAUGUAAAUUACUUUAUCCGAUGUACAGCAAAACGAAGAACUAUAAUGCGACUCGCGAAUACAUAUGGCUACGAUAUUGUACGUGAGAAAACUAACUACUUACCAGAGUGGAUUUGUUAGAGCACGUAUGGACCAGCUCAACUCAUCAAUUCAUCAUACCUGGCCAGCACCCAAGACCAUCUCCUUGAGAUUUCUAGUCGAGUCCCCUAGAGUCCGUUUUUAAUGUUAAUAUAUGAGCUUCCAAUUCAAUAGAAAAUGGAACGUCACAGGCUCACGGCAGUAAUAUAUGUUCCCAACUGCUAACUGUACCGUCAUGAAAAGACUGCAAGAUGAAAAGAAUACUUACAUCACAAGACAGAAACCCCACCUGGACAAAAUUUGAACUGCGGGUAAAAAGUCGGUUCAAGUAGAAUGCCGAGCCAAAAAAAGGGUCUGAAGUCUGAACUUUGAAGCUACAGUUUAGAUACUCUAGUUAAUGGUGAGGCCACUGCAGUUACAAGAAGAUCAGCAUAGCCACACAAUGCAAAAACACAUAUUCUCCAAACCCACCUCUUGCAAACCGUUGUGUUAGUUGUUGAAAUCUUCAGUACCACCGUAAGAUAUAUGUUUGAGUUGUGCUGCUUGCAGGGAGAGGAGGAAACCACCAUUAGCAAAACUGAUGCUGCUGUCGCCAGGAGUCCGGAACAGAAUAAAUCAUGCAUCUAGAAGCAAGCUUACCCACCAAGAAGAGGAACGAGCAGGAUUCGAUUUGAUCACCCAAGUUGUUGAUUGUGAGAACACAACUAGAGGAAGAUAUCCCUGAUGACUAACUGGCAUGAAAACUCCAAAGAUCUUCAGAGUAGCACCGCAUCGGAAGAUGUGCGACUCUGAAGCGUCUGCUAGCUGCUGCUGAGUGCGUUUGCAUUGGGGAGACAAAACCGCCAUCAGCAAGUGAGUACGAAGCAAAACAAAUCUGAUGCUGCUAGCUGUUGCCAGUGGAAAGUAUCAGUACAAGCAGCCAGCUUAAUUACCUUACCAACCAAGAAGAGAAACUAAACCAGCAGGACUUGAUUGUGCUGCGUGAAAGCAAGAAAAGAACAGCUGCGGAGAGAGGUCGCCGGCGGCAGAGAUGAUGGAGGAGAACACAAGAACCGGUGGUUCGUUCUAGUGGUGGUGGACCUGGUAGUGAGAUGGUCAAGAGGAGCUGACAGCUGAGCAGUGACCAGUGGGGGCAGCUCCUCUAACAUACUGAACUACCACGUCCUGGGACGAAGUGGCGCCCGAAGCCUUUCAUUUCUGAUACAGCGGCGGGAAUCCGAUUCUCAUCCAGCGCCAGGAAACAAGCAGGAGGCCACACACACGACGGGAAUCUGACUCUGAGCCAGCGGCAGGAAUACGAGAAUCCGAGAAUCGAGAUCAGAACAUCUCUUGAGUGAAGCUUUCUGUGCAUAGGGAGAUGAAACCAGCAUCAGUGAGUGUCAGUGUGUCACUAAUAAGCAAUAGUGCUGCCAAAGGAGAAAAAACUGUCUACAAUUUUACUCACCAAGUAGAGAAACGAGCAGGAUCUGAUCUGAUCUGACUGUCUGCUUGGUGCUUUCUCUUGAGUUUGAUGCAUGCUUCUGCGUGCAGUACGGCAGCAGUGGAUCCGAAGAUCUCUAGAGUUUAAUCGAUGCUUCUGCGUGCAGGGAGAGAUGAAACUGUUGGAUUUAUUUUGGGUUAGACCCAUUUAGAUUUAAUAAAUCAAUAAACUCUAUGGUGUGUAAUUAUGGACAAUAUAUAUAUUGUACCAAAUAGGAGCAAGUCCAAGGGUUGGAGUGGCUGGCUGAUGGUACGGGAGUUUCAACUCAAUUAUGUGGGAGUUUCAACUCAUUAUCUGCGGGUGUUUCGAUAAUUAAUUGAGGGAGUUUCAACUCCGCGUGAAAACCCUGAUGAUGCCCGUCUCUUCAGCCGCCAGCAGGGGAGUCCCUUCCCCUCCUCUCCUCUCCAGCCACAAGGAUAAAUAGGAGACUCAUCUCCUUGGUACAGGAAGAGAGAACAUACAGAUCACAGUUCCGUUGCAAAGUAGGAAUCCCAAUCUCGUAACUUCGCGCGCACGGAGGAGCGAGAGGGUAGGUGCCUCCGGAGCCCUUGCCGUUCGAGACCUUGCACGGGGGAUCGGCAAUUAGGUUUUUGGGGAGCGUCUACGCGACUGCCCAACUCCAUUGCUGCUGUUCAUCUUCUUCCCGGAGGUCUCUUGGUGUUGCCGGUCGCCGUCUUCUCCUUCCCGGUGAUUGGUUCGUCGUCUUCACCUUCGUCUCUACUCCAUGGCGAUCGACGAAGGACAAAGCUCUGGAAAUCUGAAUGCCCGAGUCUCAGGGUAUGAUCUGUUCGUCUUCCCUCAGUUUUACGUCGCUCUGUCUCUGUUUGUUUCAGUAGCUCUGUCGUGCAGGUUCAGUAGAUGUGUCAUAUCUGUUUCAGUAGGUUUGUUUCAUCGUUUCACAAAAUAUCCGUUGUCUGUUCCUGCUAUGUUUAAGUUCUGCGUGUAUGCCUCUGUUCUACAGUUUCAUUGUUUCGCUAGUAUCUGCUUGUCUGUUUCAGUACAUCUGUUUAUCUGUUUCGAUAGCUAUAUUAUGUUUGGUACUGUUACAGAAAGUUAUAUACCAUGCCAUGUUUUGAUGUUUGAUAUGCUUUAUGGAUCAUAUUUACAUGUCGUAAUUAUGAUUCAUGCCAUGUUUAUAUUUAUCAAUAAUAUCAUAUAUGUCAUCAUCAUAUUGUUAAUUUAUGGAAUUAAAAUGACAUAGAAAUUGCCUAAUAAUCUAACAGAAACCACCAUUAUUAAGUGCUAGAGCCAGAGGAGAAAAACUAUCUACAAGUUUACUCACAGAGCAGAGGAAGGAGCUGCCGAGCAGGAUCUGAUCUGAUCUGAUGCCCCAAGUUGCUUUGCUUUGAGGACACAAUCGGCGACACAGUUCCGGCGCAAACCAGGCAAGAGAUCGGAGGAGCUGAUGGCUGAGGAAGUGAGGAGCAAGAACAAUAAUGCAAUCAUCCACUGCGUCAACGCCAGUCUACAGGUCGACGGUCACCAUAUGGAAUGGAACCGAUGGAGUACCCAUAGUUCACGUGCAGGUAUCCUGAGUGGCUGAGUCUCUGGCCCCGGCAGACAGCGAGAAUGAGCCUUUAUAAAAAGAAGCGAAAUUCUGUUCGCAAUAAAAAACAUAAUCAGACUACUUUUAGACAUUUACAACGUGUCUGUAUUUGGAUGGGUGCGUACAUCGGCGGACGUAUGAGGGGGGCUGGGUGGCUGCAGCCACUCUUGGGCUCAAAUUUUUUUUAACAGGUUUUCUUUUUUAGCAAAAGAUUCCACGUAUUUGGUAAUUUUUCUAUGUUUAUUUUAUGAAUCUUUGUCUUUUAACAUUUUGAAUCAAUAUUGAAUUAUCAAUUUUAGCUAUAUCUAUUAGGCCUUGUUUAGUUCCCAAAAGAUUUUGCAAAAUUUCUCAGAUUUUCCAUCACAUCAAAUCUUGCAGCACAUGCAUGAAGCACUAAAUAUAGAUAAAAGAAAUAACUAAUUACACAGUCUACCUGUAAUUUGCGAGACGAAUCUCUUGAGCCUAGAUUUGUCAAAUACAAACUAAAAUGCUACUAUUCCUAUUUUGCAAAAAAAAAAAUAGAACUAAAUAGGGCCUUAGUGUACUGGAUUGAGUACUAUUCCUAUUUUGCAAAAAAAAUUAGAACUAAACAAGGCCUUAGUGUACUAGAUUGAGCGAGAAAAAAAAAUUAGCCUAUAUUAUUUAGCCCUCCUCUUGGUCUAUUUCUGGAUCCGCCACUGGGUGCAUAUUGUAACACCCCAGAUUUUUUUACGUAAACAUAAAAAAUACGAACUUUUUAAAAUUUUUGGUGUAAUCGUGUGAAGCAUAUAGUUUUUAGGUCUAACUCGAUCCUAACCCGCUAAUAAAUCGUGGCAUACAUAUAGAAUUGUUUGUAGGCGAGUGCCUUUGUUCGUGAGUCGUCUUGAGUCGGGUCUUGUUUAGGGUUUUGAGUUUCUUUUUGGAGUGCACAAAUCUGUAGCAAAGUCUUUCUAAAUCUCUGUUGGGCCUAUUUCAAAGGCGAAGCGAAUCCUUUCUCAAACUUUCGUUGGAGUACGUCUCAAACUCCUUUUGAUCCUCUUUGAACUCAUCCCAAUCUCUCUUCACCUAAAACCCCUUGAUAUCUAUUCCCAAAAUACCCUUCUCAAAUCCCUUGUCAUAAUUGGGAAAGCAUUCUUUCUCUCUUGGGCCUAAACCUUUUCCCUGCCUCCCCUUUCUCCUCCUGGCCCGCGACCAGCCAGCCCAGCUCGCCCCCCCCUCAAGUCGGCCCAGCCUUUCUCCUCCCUCUCCCUCUGCUGGCCCAGCAGCCAGGCCAGCCCACCUCGCGAGAGCGCCCGCCUAGCCCAUCCCGCGCGCGGCCCAGCUCCCGCGCGCCUUCCCUCGGCCCAGCCGCGCGGCCCAGGAGGCGCCAGCGCCCCAGCCAGGAAACCCUAGCGCGCUCCCUGCCUCUCCCCAAGCCCGCCGCCGCCGCCUGAUGUGGAGAAGCCACGCACCCCUGCGCGCGCGCCUGCUCCCAUCGGCGUGCGUGCCCGGAUCGACGCCGCGUGUCCCUCCCUGGGCACGGACGUCGAGGAUGGACGGUGCCCCCUCGGAACCCUAGGACACCGUGCUAUAAGAACCAGAGCCGCCGUCACCCACCUCGCCUCCUCUGUGUCGCGCCGCCCUCCUCCAUUCCCGACCGCGCCACCCCGCGACGUCGCCGUCCUCUUCCUCGCCCUGCGACGCCACCGUCACGACCGCGCCUCGUCCUCGGCACCGCCCCGCGCACCCGCCACCGUCGAGCCUGGAUGCCGCCGAGCCCUGCCACGCGACGCAGAGCUACCUCGCCUGGCCACUCCGACGCCGGUGCCCCUACGACGUCGCGCGCGGACGCCGCCCCGGCCGUGGCAACCACGACCAUGGCCACGACCUCGCCCCCGCGCACCUGCGUCACCUCGCCGCCGACCUCGCCAGGAGCCGCGGACCCCCUCUUCGCCGAGCACCUCACCGCCGUGACCGCGACACGCCUCGCCCCCGCCUCGGCCACGCUUCGAAGCCCCUGCCCCGACACCGAGCUUCGACCGCACCGAAGUAGACAGCGAGCAACGCGACGCCGCACGUCCUCGUCAAGACUCCGCCGUGGCCGGGAACGCGCGCUCGCCACCGCGUCAAGCACCUCUGUCCGCGAACUGCAACGUCGCCCGAGCCCUUGGCAGCAGCGUGGCAGCCGCGACGUCGCUGUGCUGAUCAAGCACCGCGACCCCGUUCGGCGUUCACGGCCCUGUCCUCGCCUUCGAGUCCGUACCCGGUCUCCAUCGGCGCUGCAGCUGAGCCCCCUGCAUGCUCCGCUCAUCCUCGACCAGCACCGCCGUGGAGCUGUGCUGCUGCAGCACCACCUCGUCAAGCGUCUCUGUCGCCGGUGAGCAACCAGAGCCCCAGGCCUUCCUUUAUCACGUAGUCGUCAUGCUCCUAUCUGAAGCCGGCCUUCGCGCCGCAUUUCAUCCACUGUCGCAGGGAAGCAGUGGACUCGUCGUGCUUUUGCCGAAGAUGUGUCGCUUUCCCGGCCGGCCGCAGCGAGCCACAGCCAGCCAAGCAGAAGACUUGCAGCUGAUCUACGCCCUUCUUCGUGUUCGGCAAGGUCGAAACCCCCCCUAAACCCUAGUCGACGUUGGAACUCCAUAAUUAAAUCAUAUUUGUUCAUACAUCAUCUCGUUAUCUAUCAUCUGUACAUGAUCAUACAUCUCCUAUCUUGUCGGUAUAUGAUCUAUCCAUGUCAUGAUCUAUUUAUUCUAUGCCUGUGCCGUGCCUUCGUGCCGGUCUAUUAUCUAUCUGUUUAUCUAUCUCUAUCUCUUUUGGUCGUUAUGGAAAUGUGCUACUCUAUUGUUGUCUUGUGUUGGUCGCGACAUUGUGGUUCUUUGUGUGUUGGUUCUCGUGUGGUGUGGUUGGUUGGUUGUGAACCGUGCCUUCGAGCCGGUUGAGAGAAUGAUGUGUUUGAAUGUUGCGAUCGCGAGUUUGUCUCGCCAUGGUCGUAGUGCCAAGCAUAUCCCUCCUCUCGGGUUGUCGUCGUUCUUUCGUUUGUUAUUUGCCUGAGGACUGAGCCUUCGAGCCGGUCGGGGAAGUGGUAGUGCACUUGACCAUUUCGAUCGUGGGUUCGUCCCGCCGUGAUCGCGAUGCCGAGCGUAACUCGUUUCCCGUGUUCAGUUGACUCUGUCGCGCUACAGUCGUUAGCUCUUGUUCUUGUCUCGCGGACGUGGUCAUCGUGGACUCGAUGUCUUUAUCGACGCGGUUCUUACCCGCACACUCGAGACCUAUGUGGCCUAGUCUAGUGGGAUAAGAAUUAGGGGACAACCUAUGUGGAAGAGUCGGAAGCCAACUCGGCUCAUGGCUGCGAGUCGCCUCGCCAUAGCCAUCGGGCUUUACCUUGUUUUCGCAUGUUUAUCCUAACCACCUCGUAUGCUCGUACCACUUCGACUAUAGCAUUCCCUCGGACCUAGCGGUGACAACUGCAUCGCUACGAGCCUUAGGAAUAGCCUUGUGUUGAUUAAGAUACACAGUCAUGGUGCCCUACGAGUAGGUUUGGAUUGUGGGGUCGUAUCUCUUUUAUCCAACUGUCGUUUGUUCCAUGGCGGGUUGGUUGAAAGGGUAUGGACUCCAUUCCUCUUCUCUCUUGUUCUCAAUCCCGUCGAUCCAGUAAGAUGGGGAUUAAGCCCCUUUUGCUUGUUUGAUGUUUUGUUUCCAAUCCCGCGAUUCCCGCCGUUGCUAUGGCGAGCGGAUCAAAGGAAGGUGAAUCCCGUGUCUUUUCCUGCCUUUUUGGUUCUUCGUGCUUAAACUCUUGUACGCUUGUACCUAUUCGACCGUAGCAUUUCUUGGUUCUCGUGGUGACAACCGCACCGCUAAGAACCCUGGUGAUGUCUUAGUGCAUUUAGUGCACCUAGGUUGCGGUACCCUACAAGUAGUUUGAGCACUCGUGUUCUUGUGUGUCACUCUUUCAGAUUCCCCAUCUCUUACCAUGGCGAGUGGAUCGGAAGGAGUAGACCACUUUCCCUUUCUUCUCUCUUUGUUCCACCCUCUCUUGGCUCUCGCCAACUACAAUGGCGUAUAGAUUGAGAGAGACCGGAACUUCUUGUGCUCGUAGUCUUUUCGAUUCCUGUCGAUCUCUAUGACACUUGGAUCGAAAGACCGCAAGCCUUGGUGUUUACUUGGAAUAAGUUAGGGUCUAUGCCUUUGUUAUUUAAGCCGUACAGGUCGACACGAUCGACCCGAGAAGUACCGGCUAGGCCAAGACUCUAGCUUGUACUUAGUAAACAACCAUUCUCGUUUCUUUUAGCCCAGAGAUCGGACAUCCACCGAGAGGGCUAAGUCAUUAUCCUUUCGGUGCUCCUUUAGUGUAGUUGUUCUUCAGUGUUCUUCGUCUCCUUUCGCAGUCUUUCGAGGUCUAGUGGUUUGAUUGUUUCCCUUGUUUGUCGCUUUCGAGGUAGUCGCUUCGGGGUUAGCGUUGGUCGGAUUGGAACCCUUUGAAGGAAGGACAUGCAGAUGGAAGGACUUUGGAUAAGAACAACUACAACUGCACUAAGGAUCUUGGAAAUGACCUUCGACAGGUGCCACGUCCCACCCAACCUCGUAGAAUCCUAUUAGACAUGCAAUAAUGUAGAUGCUAGUGCUUUACUUUUAUGCAAAUGAACUGUGAUAGGUUGCAUGGUAGAAAUGCUUGUGAGCCAUUGCCUUGUUGCAACCUAUAACCCUCGCACACCCGCUGUUAGGUUAGAUGCUGCAUACUACUUGCUACUGCUUCUACUACGCAUUAUAUCUGUGAUGUGAUGCAAUGUGGGAGAUUGGAUGUGAGUGGAUAAGGCACGUGGUGCCAAUAAAUGGAUAAUGAGAUGGUAAUGGAUUUGGGGAGAUCUUGGCGUGAGUCUUGGGUGUGUGGUGAGGGUCGAGUCGACCGAGCAGGAUCUACGACGAGUCUUGGGACAAGUCUUGCCGGGGGACGCUACCUGGGUGUUCUCCAUGAGAGUUACCUGUGGCGGGUACAUGUGACAGGGAGAGGUCCCGGAGUGGAGUGUCUUCGUGGGACGAAGCGCCGGGAUGGGAGGUGCUGUUUAGCACGGGGUAACCGGAUGUCCCGUCGAGCGGGGCAUCGGUUGGCCCCUCGUGAAGAUGUCCUGUUUGGUCACCCUAAGGACUGAGAUGUUCUGUGGACCGGGUCUUAGGAAGCCUUACACGCCACUCGCCUUAUUAUGGUGCGGGACGGAUGUACGACCAGCUACUGCGGUGCCACUACUACUAGGUUGAAAGCAGAUAGUGUAGGGAGGUACGGGCAUGAGGACCCACACCCUCCUAAGACAGCGUAGUGACCUUGGGGGCCCGGUACUACGCCUCACAGUCUCAGCAUGCCGGUGGUACUCCGGUAUGGCCCCAGUUCUGAGUGGUAGGGUGGCAUCGUAUCUAGUUGGGAGGCAGCUCGGAAUCAGCCUAGACGGGGGCCACCGUCGAUGAUGGUGAUCUUGUGGUUAGUGUAAACCUCUGCAGAGUUUGGUUGAUCGAUCGAUACAUAUGCCGAUUCGUCGGCUAUGGACCUUUCCUAAGUACAGCUUCACUUGACUAGAGAGAGGAGUCCUUUCUACCUUCCCCUGGGUUUGUGUUGGAUCCGGCGUUGGCCGUUGAGGCAAGGCACGAGCGGGAGUCGUACUUGCCACCUAGAGAGUGAGAGUGUGGUGAGAUGUGUGGAUGGGAUGGAUGGAUGGAUGUGUGGAUGAGAUGGAAUAAAACCUGAUGAAUUAUUAUUAUUAAAUAUUGAUGAACUUGCAUAGGAAAGACUACAGCCAUAAAUAUAGGCCUCUUGAUCUACCCUUUGCAUUCCACUUACCACAAAGCUACGCAAAAGCAUAGGGUGGGAGCCAGUGGCCAGUACAAAUCGUACUGAAAAUUGUUUAGCAGGUUUUGAACGUGGUCUAUGACGAUAACUAUGGAGAAUAGAAGGAUUAGGUGGUCUCGUUCCUGCGCUCAAGUUUGGUUCGGAGAUGAAGGCUACGCCCGCUGAUAAACUACGCCGACUCUGAUGAUUGCCCGUGAAGGAGGAGCCUUCACCGCUGACGCGCUUCAUCGACUCUGAUAAAGACCCGUGUGUGUUUCCGCUAGAAAAACGAUGUAAUAGACUUGUUGACCAAGAGUUGUAAAGUAAAUGUGUUGUAACCUUGUUUUUCCACGAUGCAUGACUGUGAUAAUAGCUGAUAUAUGAUAAUAUGAUGGUUCAAUUUUUGAAUUAUCACAUUAUAAUUCGAAUCUGUGGAUUUUCCCCUUCGUGGAAAAAUCUAGGUCGUCUUAGUUGGUAUCAGAGCCAUACUUGACCCUAGGACGAGACCUUUAGGACCAAACACUAGUUUAGAAGCCAAACAUCCUAUCUUUUGUAGAGUUAUAGAUGCUAACACUUGUUUUCCCCCUUCGCCUUGAAUUCUGCUGCUAACUGACCUCCCGGUUUCAUAAAGUUGACUGUUGGAAUCUUUUCCCAUACCGCCCACGCUAGAUCGGUAGUCGUGUGAGACUUUGAAGGUCUGUGAGUCGCCUCAAGUCAACACUAUGCAUUAGGAGUUGUAAUGCUGUUUGAGUGCUUGGAUCUUAUGUUGAUUGCGUUUCUUCUGCUUCUUGUUGUUUGAGUGUAAGUCAUAGAACCUGUUUUAUGCGAGAAAGACUCUGGGUCCCAUCCAAUCUAGCUCGCUAAACCCGAGACCGUCCCGAGACUAGAUAAGUGACCCUGGCUAACAGAGUUGAAAAAGGGUGUAAAGCUGAUGCAUCUUGUUUUACCCAACCAUUUCAAAAAUGUUUUCAGUUUCCAACUGAGCUUGUCUUCAAAAUUAUCCCUCUUUUUGGUUGGAAGACUCCCCUCUU
rnacentral:lncRNA from 1 species